rnacentral:rRNA from 1 species
GUCUACGGCCAUACCACCCUGAACGCGCCCGAUCUCGUCUGAUCUCGGAAGCUAAGCAGGGUCGGGCCUGGUUAGUACUUGGAUGGGAGAAGCAAGACAUGGUUUCACUGGAGGAA